rnacentral:rRNA from 1 species
UACAGAGGGGGCAAGCGUUGUUCGGAAUUACUGGGCGUAAAGGGCGCGUAGGCGGCCUGCUAAGUCGAACGUGAAAUCCCUGGGCUCAACCCAGGAACUGCGUCCGAUACUGGUUGGCUUGAAUCCGGGAGAGGGAUGUGGAAUUCCAGGUGUAGCGGUGAAAUGCGUAGAUAUCUGGAGGAACACCGGUGGCGAAGGCGACAUCCUGGACCGGCAUUGACGCUGAGGCGCGAAAGCCAGGGGAGCAAGCGGG